GAACAGAUUAUCCCAGAAGGUGCUGGGUGUCAAACAUCCCUAUCAGACAAGUGGGAAGCCUGGGUGGAAAAUGGUGGGACUGUCUGAGGACUGGAAAUAAGGAGCAACUGGGAGCAAAAGAGCCACAACAAAGAAACUCAGUAGAUUCUUCACUUCAGUCUUGAUGUCAUGCUGCUGGCUCCUUUUAGAGCCAUGAUAUUCAAACUCCCUCCCAUACCCUCAAGAAACAGACACAGGAGAGAUGUCUCAAACUGGAGUGUAAGGAGGAACAGAGAAAUAGAAAUUGAUGUGGACUUACCGGGCCUGCUUGAAGCCAGCUUUUGUUGCAAUCAUGAGAAAUAUAUAUUGACAUAUAUGAAGAAGACUAGAAGGGAAAUCUGUGAGCAUACAUGUGCAUCUUCAUUUUGAAAUGCAACACACAAGAGAAGAGCUGCUGCACUGCCUCAGGGAAAAAAAAAAAGAGUUUAGCUGAGCAUUGCAUGGAUCCUCUUGCUUUUUCAGGAAUAAACCCUGAGUGGUUUGCA
rnacentral:lncRNA from 1 species